CGACCUCCUCCUCCUCCUCUUUGUUUUUAACGCUCGCUCGGCCCCCUCUCGUCAUCCUCUCUCGGUUGAGCCCCAUCCCUAGCCCCGAUCGGCGAUCGACGAUUCCGCUUCUCCGCCGCCGUCGACCUCGCCGCCGUCUGAGGAAACAAGCUUUCUUCUACCGAAGGCCGGUCACCAAAUUCCAUUUGCAAUGCAUGCCUGGAGGCUUCAAGAAAAGCUGAGAAAGCCUUGGGUGAUCCAGAAUUGUUUGGUGUCUACAAAAGUCAGAGGCAUAUAUGCAUCAAAUAACGCUGUCUUUGCAAGAUCUUUUCCAUGAAGAAAAUCUCUGCAACAGCACAGGAUUAUGUUUGGACGAGUCCCUGCUUUGUCGCAUUUCAUUAAACAAGUUUUCUUCUGAGGUAAAUGAGCUUUUAUCGAUUGUAGUAACAAUACAAACUGACAUUUCUCCCAUAGCAUUCAAGCCAUGCAUCAAUUCCGUUAAAUGAAUGUCUUGAACUGCUGCAGGUGAUGCACAUUUACACAUUUUGUCUAUUCAAAAUAAUAUUUUCAUUUACAGCAGGUGAUGCAGUGAGGUAGCUGAAUAUUGUAGAAAAUUACAAGUAGAAGCUCAGCUUAUAAUAUGGAUUAUUCUGUAUUAGCAAAUUACUGAACAUUAAAAUGCUUGCACACUUAGAAUUAGCCAGGUUUUCCUCCCAUCCUAGUUCUCGAAAAUAAAAUAAAGGAUUCGAAAUGAAAUGAAAUGCUUGCACACUGAACAACUAGUGGUAACAAUACUAUAUCAUUGUUCAACCCCAGUUCCAUGAUGUUGCAUUGUUGUUGUGGUAUUAUUUAACACUGGUGAAGCUAAAUCUCUGUUGUUUACCAUCAGACAGAGGAGAACACUUGUUUAGCAUGCCGCAAAUCUGUCAAAAAUAUUUUCAUUCAAUUAAAGGCUCCUAAGCUGAGGGUAAUCAUAUUGUGGAUCGAUGAAAUACUAUAGUAUAUAUUUUAUCCUCUUCUUCUGGUAACUAUCGGUUUUAUUUGCACUUCUAAUUCAGAUGAAGAUAAUGGAGACUCUUAUUGAGAACUGCAAAGAAGCAGAUGAGAAUGAAGAGCAAUGCAAGCAAAUUGUCUGCAUGUAUGUUCCCCUAAUCCUGUCAAAACUUGACAAGCAGAAACCCAGUGACCGGUGCCGUCUGAUGAAUCUCUAUGAUGAGGGGAUAUCUCUGUGAAAUGCCUGUCCAGUUAGCUAAGUGGUAGCUUUGCUUCUAUUAGAUGUGCUCAAAAUAACCAAGAAAGGGGGAGAUUCUGGAUCUUUGAGGAUUGAAUAAUGUGAUGUUCAUGCAUCAUAUGUCCAAUGUUGCUGGGAUUGGUGUGAUCAGCCAUGUGUUAUUGCUUUUAUGUCUGAAAAGCAGAUGUAUAUUCUUCUUUCGGUAUAAAAAUUUUGUCCGAAGAACCUUUGGAAAUCUUCUGCCGCAGUUGGCAUCUGAUCAAGCAUUGCAAUAUAUUGCUGCUACCUCAUCUAGUUGUCCAAAACAAUCAUGUUGGUCAAAGGAGGGCUCAACUCCAAAUAGUCUGCAUAGAAGAGUGCUCCUGUAUGGAUGUUGGAGAGCUACGAGGGAGUGUGGGAGGGACUCUCACCGCCGGCAUUACAUGAUAAUGUGGAAUUCGACUAUAGUGGAAACUAUCUUGCAAUUGCGGGUUCGGAUGUAAGGGUCUACCAAGUUGCCAGUGUAAAGAUGGAAUGGAAUCAGAUUAAGACACUCGCUGAUUUAUCAGGCACAGGAAAAGUGACAUGCGUUAAGUUGGGAUGGCCCAGAGGAACCCAGAUCACCAGAUCACUGAUUUCAAACUUACAGAGAAGCCAGAGUCGAGAUUCUUUGCGUUAUCACUUAAUCCUUUGCUGCUCAUGGGGACGCUGCACGCCCCUGGGCUCGAGAUCAGCAGUUAACCGUUGGAUGCCCCCCCUUGUAAUUUAAGUGCAACCAAGAUCCUGGAUGGAAGCCCUGAAUAUGGCAUUUUAUUUUGAUGAUGUCCCGUAAAACAUGUUGUAUUCGUAGUUUUGAGUCACCGGUGAAAAAGCGCAUAAACUUAUUCUAUCUGUGAUUCUUGACA